AGUUCGAUCACAGCUCAGAUUGAACGCUGGUGCGGAUGCUGAUACAUGCAAGUCGAAUCGGCAGCACGGACUUCGGUCUGGUGGCGAGUGGCGAACGGUGAGAAUACCGGAACGUGCCUAGUAGCGGGGGAUAACUACGCGAAAGCGUAGCCAAUACCGCAUACCGCCCUUUCGGGGGAAAGCGGGGGGAAUCUUCGGGCCCCGCACCAUUAGAGCGGCCGAUAUCGGAUUAGCUAGUUGGUGGGGUAACGGCUCACCAAGGCGACGAUCCGAUUAGGUUUGAGACGACCAGCCACACUGGGACUGAGACACGGCCCAGACUCCUACGGGAGGCAGCAGUGGGGAAUUUUGGACAAUGGGGAAACCCCUGAUCCAGCCAUCCCGCGUGUGCGAUGAAGGCCUUCGCCAGGUGAUCUGGCAGGAAAGAAACGGCACUGGAUAAUACCCAAAACUGACGGUACCUGCAGAAUAAGUACCGUCACAAUUAUGUGCCAGCAGCCGCGGUAAUACGUAGGGUGCAAGGUUAAUCGGAAUUAUUGGGCGUAAAGCGUACGCAGGCGGUUCGAAAGAAAGAGAUGAAAUCCCAGAGCUUAACUUUGGAAUCAGGCUUUUAACUACCGAGCUAGAGUGCCGAGGAGGUGGAAUUCCCGCGUGGUGCAGUGAAAUGCGUAGAUAUGCGGAGGAAUGAUGGCGCAAACGCAGCCUCCUGGGAUAACACUGACGCGCCUGCACUGCGCCGGAGCAAGAUUUAGAUACCCUGGUAGUCCACGCCUCAAACGAUGUCAACUAGCUGUUGGCCUUUGGCCUGGCAGAAGUGCAGCUAACGCGUGAAGUUGACCGCCGGGAGCAUGGUCAAAGAUUGUAACCAGCGAAAUUGGAUUUAAGACCCGCACAAGCGGUGGAUGAUGUGGAUUAAUUCGAUGCAACGCGAAAAACCUUACCUACCCUUGACAUGUCUGGAAUCCCGAAGAGAUUUGGGGAGUGCUCGCAAGAGAAUCUGGAACACAAGGUGAUGGCUGUCGUCAGCUCGUGUCGUGAGAUGUUAAGGUUAAGUCCUGCAACGAGCGGGCAACCUUGUCACAUAUUGCCAUGAAAGGGCCACUUCCACGAGACUGCCGGUGACAAACCGAUAUUAGGUAGAUGACGCUGUCCGCGCUCCCAGGGGUAGGGGCUUCACACGUCAUACAAUGGUCGGGACAGAGGGUCGCCAACCCGCGAGGGGGAGCCAAUCCCAGAAACCCGAUCGUAGUCCGGAUCGCAGUCUGCAACCUCGACUGUGAAGUCGGAAUCGCUAGUAAUCGCGGAUCAGCAUGUCGCGUAUCACGUUCCCGGUCUUGUACACACUGGUCACACCAUGGAGUGGGUUUUACCAGAAGUGAAGGCCUAACCGUAAGGAGGGCGAUUACCACGGUAGGAUUCAUGACUGGGGUGAAGUCGUAACAAGGUAA
rnacentral:rRNA from 1 species